AACGAACGCUGGCGGCAUGCCUAACACAUGCAAGUCGAACGAGACCUUCGGGUCUAGUGGCGCACGGGUGCGUAACGCGUGGGAACCUGCCCUUAGGUUCGGAAUAACUCCCCGAAAGGGGUGCUAAUAUCGGAUAAUGUCUUCGGACCAAAGAUUUAUCGCCUUUGGAUGGGCCCGCGUUGGAUUAGCUAGUUGGUAGGGUAAAAGCCUACCAAGGCGACGAUCCAUAGCUGGUCUGAGAGGAUGAUCAGCCUCACUGGGACUGAGACACGGCCCAGACUCCUACGGGAGGCAGCAGUGGGGAAUAUUGGACAAUGGGCGAAAGCCUGAUCCAGCAAUGCCGCGUGAGUGAUGAAGGCCUUAGGGUUGUAAAGCUCUUUUACCCGGGAUGAUAAUGACAGUACCGGGAGAAUAAGCUCCGGCUAACUCCGUG
rnacentral:rRNA from 1 species